GAGCCAGUGUGGUGUAGUGCUUUGAGCGUUGGACUAUGGCUCUAAAGGCCAUGGUUCAAAUCCACUCUGGGUCA